AUUGAACGCUGGCGGCAGGCCUAACACAUGCAAGCCGAGCGGGGUUUUCGGACCUAGCGGCGGACGGGUGAGUAAUGCGUAGGAAGCUGCCCGAUAGAGGGGGAUACCAGUUGGAAACGACUGUUAAUACCGCAUAAUGUCUACGGACCAAAGUGUGGGACCUUCGGGCCACAUGCUAUCGGAUGCGCCUACGUGGGAUUAGCUAGUUGGUGAGGUAAUGGCUCACCAAGGCGACGAUCUCUAGCUGGUUUGAGAGGAUGAUCAGCCACACUGGAACUGAGACACGGUCCAGACUCCUACGGGAGGCAGCAGUGGGGAAUAUUGGACAAUGGGCGCAAGCCUGAUCCAGCCAUGCCGCGUGUGUGAAGAAGGCCUUCGGGUUGUAAAGCACUUUCAGCGAGGAGGAAGGGUGGUGUGUUAAUAGCACAUCAUUUUGACGUUACUCGCAGAAGAAGCACCGGCUAACUCUGUGCCAGCCGCCGCUGUAAUAC
rnacentral:rRNA from 1 species